UGGACGUGAGUGCUUGGGGAGCAAGGGCAGCAGGGCUGCUGGAGUAUAAGACGGGCUUCAGGACCCAUUGGCACAAGUGCGCAGCGUGCUCCUAACGCCAGGCCGGUAGGGAGCCUCCACACCACGAGAAAGAAGAUGGACUCUCACCCAAACUUUGGUCCAGCUGUCAAGACUGAUAACAACACACACACACUAAGAAAGUAUGGAAAUAUUUAUCCCUUACACAAGGCGGCUUUUUGAGGUUGAAGCUCCAAUACUUUUGCCACCUGAUGCAAAGAACUGACUCAUUGGAAAAGACCCUGAUGCUGGGAAAGACUGAAGGCAGGAGGAGAAGCGGAUAACAGAGGACAAGAUGGUUGGAUGGCACCACUGACUCAAUGGACAUGAGUUUGAGCAAGCUCUAGGAGAUGGUGAUGGACAGGGAAGCCUGGCAUGCUGCAGUCCAUGGGGUUGCAAAGAGUUGGACACAACUGAGCAACUGAACUGAACUUAAUGUAUCUCAUUGUCCAUUUAAUGCUUUGUGGUUUGAAAUGUAUUUUAUCUGAUAUAAAGGUUG
ensembl:lncRNA